GAUGAACGCUGGCGGCGUGCCUAACACAUGCAAGUCGAGCGAAGCGCCUUACUUGUAUUUCGUUCGGGAUAGAAAGUAUUGUGACUGAGCGGCGGACGGGUGAGUAACGCGUGGAUAACCUGCCUCAUACGAGGGGGAUAACAGUUAGAAAUGACUGCUAAUACCGCAUAAGACCACAGCAUCGCAUGGUGCAGGGGUCAAAGGAGCAAUCCGGUGGAAGAUGGGCUCGCGUCCGAUUAGCUAGUUGGUGAGAUAACAGCCCACCAAGGCGACGAUCGGUAGCCGACCUGAGAGGGUGAUCGGCCACAUUGGAACUGAGAGACGGUCCAG
rnacentral:rRNA from 1 species